rnacentral:rRNA from 1 species
UACGAAGGGGGCUAGCGUUGUUCGGAAUUACUGGGCGUAAAGGGCGCGUAGGCGGCGUGUCAAGUCAGGCGUGAAAGCCCCGGGCUCAACCUGGGAACCGCGCUUGAGACUGGCAUGCUCGAGUUCGGGAGAGGAUGGUGGAAUUCCCAGUGUAGAGGUGAAAUUCGUAAGAUAUUUGGGGAAGAACACCGAUGGCGAAGGCAGCCAUCUGGACCGACACUGACGCUGAGGCGCGAAAGCGUGGGGAGCAAACAGG